AUUGAACGCUGGCGGCAGGCCUAACACAUGCAAGUCGAGCGGAUGAUGGGAGCUUGCUCCUUGAUUCAGCGGCGGACGGGUGAGUAAUGCCUAGGAAUCUGCCUGGUAGUGGGGGACAACGUUUCGAAAGGAACGCUAAUACCGCAUACGUCCUACGGGAGAAAGCAGGGGACCUUCGGGCCUUGCGCUAUCAGAUGAGCCUAGGUCGGAUUAGCUUGUUGGUGAGGUAAUGGCUCACCAAGGCGACGAUCCGUAAUUGGUCUGAGAGGAUGAUCAGUCACACUGGAACUGGGACACGGUCCAGACUCCUACGGGAGGCAGCAGUGGGGAAUAUUGGACAAUGGGCGAAAGCCUGAUCCAGCCAUGCCGCGUGUGUGAAGAAGGUCUUCGGAUUGUAAAGCACUUUAAGUUGGGAGGAAGGGUUGUAGAUUAAUACUCUGCAAUUUUGACGUUACCGACAGAAUAAGCACCGGCUAACUCUGUGCCAGCAGCCGCGGUAAGAC
rnacentral:rRNA from 1 species